GAUGAACGCUGGCGGCGUGCUUAACACAUGCAAGUCGAACGAUGAUCUCCAGCUUGCUGGGGGGAUUAGUGGCGAACGGGUGAGUAACACGUGAGUAACCCGCCCUUAACUCUGGGAUAAGCCUGGGAAACUGGGUCUAAUACCGGAUAUGACUCCUCAUCGCAUGGUGGGGGGUGGAAAGCUUUUUGUGGUUUUGGAUGGACUCGCGGCCUAUCAGCUUGUUGGUGAGGAAUGGCUCACCAAGGCGACGACGGUAGCCGGCCUGAGAGGGUGACCGGCCACACUGGGACUGAGACACGGCCCAGACUCCUACGGGAGGCAGCAGUGGGGAAUAUUGCACAAUGGGCGCAAGCCUGAUGCAGCGACGCCGCGUGAGGGA
rnacentral:rRNA from 1 species